rnacentral:rRNA from 1 species
UACGUAGGGUCCGAGCGUUGUCCGGAAUUACUGGGCGUAAAGAGCUCGUAGGUGGUUUGUCGCGUUGUUCGUGAAAACUCACAGCUCAACUGUGGGCGUGCGGGCGAUACGGGCAGACUAGAGUACUGCAGGGGAGAGUGGAAUUCCUGGUGUAGCGGUGGAAUGCGCAGAUAUCAGGAGGAACACCGGUGGCGAAGGCGGGGCUCUGGGCAGGAACUGACGCUGAGGAGCGAAAGCGUGGGGAGCGAACAGG